CUGACAGCUCGGGGGCCAAAACUGUCUCUCUGACUCAUUGUCAGUAGGCAAAAAGUAUCACAAAGGCUAGAGACAGCUUUUACUCUCAGGUCUUGUGACAACAUUGAGGAAGAGAGACAGACAACCAGCUCUUUCUGAAGUGACAGCUUGGGAGCAUUUUAACAUCUGGUAUUUGCAGGUCUUCUUUUUAGGUUAACCAUCAGCCACUAUGUAUUUUCAUUGUGUGUGUCUGUGUGCGGGUUGCAUGAUAUAGGUUCCUGUGUUAUGAAGAGGGCUGGAGCCUUUAAAACAACAUUGCUGCCCUGAAGGUCAGACAGAAACCACCGUUUUCCUCAAGGAAC